rnacentral:rRNA from 1 species
AACAAACGCUGGCGGCGUGCCUAACACAUGCAAGUCGUACGAGAAAGGGUCCUUCGGGGCCUGAGUAAAGUGGCGCACGGGUGAGUAACGCGUGGAUAAUCUGCCCUUCAGUUGGGAAUAACUCAUCGAAAGGUGGGCUAAUACCGAAUAAUGCUGUGAGACCUCGGUUGAUCAGCCAAAGAGAGCCUCUGCUUGCAAGCCCUCGCUGAAGGAUGAGUCCGCGUACCAUUAGCUAGUUGGUAGGGUAAUGGCCUACCAAGGCGACGAUGGUUAGCUGGUCUGAGAGGAUGAUCAGCCACACUGGAACUGAGACACGGUCCAGACUCCGACGGGAGGCAGCAGUGAGGAAUCUUGCGCAAUGGGGGCAACCCUGACGCAGCAACGCCGCGUGAGUGAGGAAGGUCUUCGGAUCGUAAAGCUCCGUCGGAUGGAAAGAACCGCAUAGGGGUAAACAGCCCCUGUGUCUGACGGUACCAUCAAAGGAAGCACCGGCUAACUCCGUGCCAGCCGCCGCAGUAAAAC